CCUGUAUACAGGUGUCACCUGGUCCCUGGGCAGUGACUUCCCUGUAUACAGGUGUCACCCGGUCCCUGGACAGCGACUCCCCUGUAUACAGGUGUCACCCGGUCCCUGGACAGCGACUCCCCUGUAUACAGGUGUCACCCGGGUGCCCCGUGUGCAUCUUCACUUCCAGGCACUCCCUGAACCUGGUCUGCUUCCUCUCGGGUUCUGGAACCUUCUGUGGGUGGGUCUGGCUGAGCGGGGUGUCUUGGUCCCCGACGCUUAGCGAGCCCGCAGCCUUGUGCCCUCUCAAAGCUCCGGGAGGAAAUGCUUGGUGGACCCACGUCCUGGGUCCUGGCUGCAGGGCGCAGUGAGUGAGGCUGCGUGCCUGGAGGGAACUCCUGGGAG